GCUGCCUGAGCCAUAUCUCCUCCACUCCAUCGGUAGCUACAUCAUACUUCACACAUAUAUUGGCUUUGUGUGUCAAAUCUAUAAGAUUGUUGGAAAAAAAUCAAUCUAGCAAAGAACAAGAAAACUUCAACUUGGCUCAAAGCAUCCAGAGAGUUUCUCGACACUUCAAAAUGUAUUGGUUCCUGUGCUUCAUUCUGCUCAUGGGUUUAGGAGCUUCAGAAAACACCAGCACAGAUACAACCAAUGGAGUACCUACAGACCAGAAAUCACCACAUGAAACUCCAACCCAAACUACUCCAACCCAAACUACUGCAACACAAACUAAUGUAACACAAACUACUGCAACACAAACUACUGCAACACAAACUACUGACAAACGUAGUACUUCAGUAACUAACCCUGUAGAAAGUGAAAAACCACAGGGCAAUAAGGGAGAAUGCUUUUUUUUUAUCUGCAAGUUGAAUCCAAAGGUAGCACUGCUCAUAAUCGGAGCCCUCUCACUGGCCUGUAUUAUCCUGCUGACAGCCACUCUGCUACUGGCCUGCAAAGUGUGCUGCCCAAAGACGCAAGUCCUGGACACUACUCAAUCCAGCCCAAGAAGACUGUCUGUGGAUGGUGAAUCUACUCCCAUGAUCACUGAAUUUAGCAAACCGGAGGAAGACAAUAACCAGUCAGGGCCAGAGGAGCAGGAGAAGCCGGAGGAGCCAGAAAAGCUGGUAGAGGAGGCAGCAGAAGCCACUGAGGUCAGUAACCAGGCCUCUAUGGAGGAUUUUACAGUGUGUGUAAUGCCAGCUGAGGAGCCACCGCCCACCCAGGAAUGCGAGAUGCCUGAGAAAAUAAUAUUUGACGAUGCUGAGCAACCAUAAAUCAUAUCACCACUGAAGAGCGACGCACAGCUCCAACUGCUGGUGGGACUGAAUUCACACCAUACUCCUGCUUUUGCGUGCAGUUUCACAAUUUUACUUUCGCUGUUGGUCAGCCGCAACAAUUAUAUAUAUAUAUAUUUUUUUUUUGUUUUGAGUUUGUUUUAACAAGUUUGUUGGAUAAUUCAGAGGCUUGUGGGAGAACAAGAUGUUACGUAAGGUUUCAAUGACUAUUACAUGCAGAUGAAAUGGUCUACUGUGGGAAAAAAUGAAUGAAAUACGUAACUAAGUAUGUAGAUGAUGGAUUUUGAAUAGUACAAUGCAAACCCCUGUUACCCUGUGCUUUACUAUGGCAUAACUUGUGCAAAUGUAAAUGAACUGUGUUCUUAAAUACAUAUUUCAAAACACAAUGUAUUUCUUUCGCUGAAAAAUAAAAUAAUCGUUUGAGUCCCAA